GGACGUCGAUUUCUCUCUCUUAUCUUCUUCUUCUUCUUUUCAACUUUUUAAAUUUUUCUUCACUCAACAUUGGGUUUAUGAGCGAAUUCACCUAAAAAACCGACAACGAUCUAGUCAUCAUCAAACCAGGACCGUGGAGAUAUGCAAGAGCGGCUUGACUCCAAGAUCCAGCGAUCUGUGGCUACCACUUAGGGUUUGUGACUAUAUUAACCAGAUCCAUAUGUCCAAGUUUACAAAGAGCUUUACCUUGUUUUAUGUGUUUAUUCCUACAAAUUUUUUAUAGAUAGUAUGUGACAUCCCAAACAUUAGAUUUUCAUUCAAAAUUUUUUUUAAUUCUUUUUAAGUGUAGGGUCUAACUGGUGACAAUAUCAAAAAUAAGAUGAAUGAGAAAGAAAAAAUAUAAAAGAAAUUAUAUGGAAAAAAAAGAAUCAAUACAUAGUAGGGAUGAAACAAAUUAUCACAAUAAAUGGUAACCAAAAAUAAGAAUAAAUAUCUUAAAAUAAUAAUAUUCAAUAUUUAAUAACUGAGAAGAAAAAACGCUUUCAAGCAUCAUUAAACACACAAAGGUAUCUUCUUUUUUUCAAAAAACCCUCUGUGCGAGAGUGGAUGAUUAGGUUUAGCCUCCUCAGGAAAAAAGAAAGAGUCUUCCGUUUGGCCUCUCCGGCUUCCGGCGUUCCUUGCCGGAGUUGUGAGAGGUCAUGUAGAGUUGUAUUUCUUCUUCUGUUUAUAUUUCUUCCGCCUGCUUCGAUGGCUCGGUUGAUGUAGAAGUAGAUCUUUGGAGCAGCGGCGAGGUUCACGGCGUGGGUCUUUGCUGAGAUGCAGCGGCAAAUUUCUGGAGGGUUAGGCGUUUCCGUUUGCUGAUCUUGCAGGGUUCGGUGGCUUUGGUCUGGAUUUCAGAUCUUUGAGGUUGCGGAUUUUGUUUCUCGACUCUGUUCUCGCCAAAGGUUUCGGCUAUUGCAAGUUGUGCAGGCCGAUUCGAUUUUGCUUCUUUUGUCUGUUAUUCUGCUCCUUUGGUUUGGUUUCUCAAUCGGUUGUGCUUAUUGUAGGUCUUAGUUGUUGUUUAUGGGGUUUAAUAGUUGAUUUUGGCUUUGUUCAUUUGCUUGGUGCCAUUAUCUUCUGAUUAGUUGCUUUUGUCUGUGGGAGUUUUAAGGUCUUGGUUUCGUUCUUUAAUCUCGUAGAAUUGACGGUUUGGUCCUGUUGUCUGGUUUAGGAUAGAUUGCGAUUAUCCUCUCUAUUUGGUCGUUGAAUCUCCAAAGUUAAUGUCCUUCAACCGCCUUUAGUUUAGAAGAAUAAAAAGUUUUCUCCCGUGGUCUUUUCGAUAAUCUGUUCUUGUAAGGCUAACCUCUUGUCUAUCCAAUUGGCUUGUGGGGAUGCAAAGUCCUAGAUUUAGACUCUUUCGGCAGAAGAUUAGGUGUGUAGGAUUUAGAUUCUCGUCCUUUGCUUUUUUAUGUUCGGAUUAAUCGUUUAGUUGGUUUAUUUCUUCGCGGUUUCCUCUAUCCUUGGUUCUCUUCUGUUUGUGGUUGUAGAUCCCCUCGUCAGUGACCUUUUGAGUUCUGUAGUUUCGUGUCUAUUGUGCUCUUCCGACUUCUCCUUGUUUCGAGAAUUUUACUUUUGACUUUAGUAUCCCAUAAUAUGUCUCUCGUGUAUCGGGCUUAGUUUCCGGGGAAUUCCUAUUUUCCGCCGGCUUUAUGUACGAAAAUUGUAUCUCACCUUUGUAUUCCAUCUUGGUAUUAUAUAAGAAAAAAUUCAGUGGAAAAAAAGCAUCAUUAAACACA